CGGCAGCCCAGGCAGGGGUGUGUCGGGAACACAGUGGUCAUGUUGGGCCUGGCGCGUCUUGGUGAGGACUCAGCGAAGCUAGCCUCGCACUCUGGCCUCCUGCUCCCCAGGUGCUCUUCCACAUGGCAGGGAGGGUGUGCCUGCCUCUGAGGCCUGUUCUUCAGACAGGCCAACCAGCAGCGCCCAGCACCAGGCCCCAGGCCUGUGGGUGGCGACCACCCAGGGACUGCAAGCCACAUAAAGCACAGAUGUCAAAGGCUGUUGAGGUCUUCGCUAGCUGCUGCGUGUGCGAGGAGGCUGCGGGUGACUCAGUGGCUGUCGAGAAGUGGUUCUGUCCUUCCCUGUCCAGUCCUCCCUUCCCAGGGGGGCAAGGGAGAUGGGUUUUGCUGGAGCUGGACCACUUCGCUUCUGACUCUAUCCUUCACACCAGCCCCCGGCCAGGUUGCUGGGCCCCCUUGACCCAGGCAGUGUCUCUGAGCUGAGGCUGUGGUUGGACAGAGCCAGCCAGCUGCUCCGUCCAGCCCCGGGACUGCCACAAGAGGAUUGUGGAAACCAUCAUGUGGCUGAAUCUGAAAUUUCAUACUUUCAGUAAAAAUGAGCGUCUUUGAAGCCGUAAGCUGUGCAAAUUAACAGAGAUCAUAUUUGAUGCAGAAUUUCCCAGGUCCUGCUGUGAAAAUCAUAACCCAGUCUACUGAAUUACCCCCAAGAUGCACUUCCUCUGAGUGUAAUAAUGAGUGAUCACGUAACCAUGGAAACAGCUAUUUUAGGAGAGAGAAAAACCAGAGAACAUGGAUCUUCAGAAUAGCUUCAUAAAGUCAGACUUUGCUUGAUGUAACUCUGAAUGCCUUGGCUCUGGGUAGGUUCGUGGGCUUUGUUCAGCUACGUAAGCUUGCUCAGGAGCACAUCCAUUUGAAUAAUUGGUUUUGAAUACUUGCAGAGAGAAUAUUCCAGAAAAAAAAAGAAAAGAGCAGGGGAAAAAGAUCAGGCUACUCUUUGGCUACAAGUGUCCCUGUCACUUGUCAGGAGUCUCCAUAACCAUGUUCACUAUGGCCCCAACUCCAGCCGAAGGGCUGGCAAGUCCUGGAAUACUAGGCUUCCAGGACAAUCUGGAAAUCAUUAACACCAACGAAAUUUCAGCUUCAACAUUAUUUUUUGCUGGUUAUUUUAAAAUAAAAGAAACUGUAAUUUUAAAUACAAAUAUUACAGUAUACGUUAAAUUCAUUAACUUCAUAACAACUACCUGGGUACACAUACAUAUUCCUCUUGGCGCUUAUUUUGGCCUUUAUUUCUACCCAUUGUUUCAAGACUUUCUGUAUCUGAAAAAAUUGGAACUGCUUAUAGGCAGUACAAUUAGUCUUUUUGUCAUUGUACUUAUGAAUAGCAAAGGUAGCAGCCGAAGCAGAGCAGGUGAACCGGGUAUCUCAGAGGUAAGUCCUGCAGCGAGUAUUCAUUUCUUCUACCCUCAUUUGAAAACUCCUACAUGCAGAAGAAAUUGACACAUGCAGAAGAAAUUCUUGACACCACUUACCACAAAUGUUUUUGUGUAAAAAGUGGUUUUAAAUACCUCAGAUUGAGCCAGGUGAAGUGGUGCACACCUGUAAUUCCAGCAACUCGAGAGGCUGAGGCAGGAGGAUCACAAGUUCAAGGCCAGCCUCAGUGACUUAGCAAGGCCCUAAGCAGCUUAGCAAGACACUGUCUCAAAAUAAAGAUAAAAAAUGGCUGGGGGUGUAGUUCAGUGGUAGAGCCCCCUGGGAUGAAUCCUCAGUACCAAAAAUAAAAUAAAAUAUCCCAGAACAAACACUGCCUUGAUUGAAGAGUGUAGUCCACCCUGUUUGUUGCCUGGUUCAAUCCUCAGCCUCUUCCUUGCACAUCUUACCAAGCUUCUGACGGUGUUUACCAUUUGCUGUAUGUUGCUAGAUUCAUGCAAAAAGCUGUGAACAUCAUGUUUUACAUAGUGAAAUAAAACAAACAAAAGAAAGCAUCCUUUCAGUGCCUUCGAGCUGUAAAUUUCAACGUUCCCAGAAGUGGAACUGUGUGGGGAAAGCCAGGCUGCUCCAGCUUGGCUGGGUGAGGCCCCAGCCCCAGCCUCCGGGUGCUGCUGGGGCCCCUCUGCAGCCUGCAGGCACCUAGCUCCCCAGGGUGUGGUGGCCACACUGUGCAUUUCAAAAUGCACAGCAAGUGCCAACACAGAGUGGUAUUUUAUUGGAACAAAUAUGUCCAAGUGGAGUGGAGUGAAUACAGGGUAUCUCGGAUGCUCUGUUUACGCUUUUGCUCAUUGCAAGUGAACCAGAAGACCUCUUUAGCCAUUUUAAUAGGAACAAAAUUGAAAUCCAGUGAUCAGAGGUGAGAGUGGAGCCUUUGCCAGGUUGGACACCGCUUCAUUCUUGUUGGGCAGGAGGCUGUAUGGAAGUAUUCUGGCACGUGUGGAUGGCUGGUUGCAAGCAGUAGCAGAAAAAUAAUUUUAUUUUUGUUUUCCUUGUUGCCACAAGGAAUGUUUUAAGUUAAAUUAUGCUGAAAUGUGAAAAAGAGAAUCAUUAUAAAUUUUCUUCCAAGCUGAGUUUUUAACCGUCGUGAACAACUCUUCGCAGUCCUAUAGCAUGAAUGUGAAAUCCCGUCAGUACUCUAUUUACAGCACUGGAGUGGGCUGCGUUUUCCCCUGGGAAGAGGGCAGCUGGCCUGCCAGGGGAGCUCCAGCCCCUCUGGUGUUAGAGGAGCAGGCUGUGCACCUUUGUCCCUUCUAGGUCUUGCUCCUAGGGGGGGAACUGCUGUCCUUCAGUGCCUGCAUCCUACAGAGAACCAGCAGGGCCGGGCGUGGCUUGGGGGUAGAGCACGUGCUUAGCAUGCAGAGCCCUGGAUUCUGUCCUCAGUAGGCACAUUAAAAAAUAUAUAUAUACAGUGAAAUGAUAAUGGCAGGAUCUAGAUAAAAGGUAUUCAAGUGUUUUCUUUGAAAUUAUUUCAAGUUGUUUAGUGUUUGAAAUGCUUAUGGUAAAAUGUAGGAGGAAGAAAGAAAACAUGUAAGUGUACGUG
rnacentral:lncRNA from 1 species